rnacentral:rRNA from 1 species
CAGCCGCCACGGUAAUACAGAGGGUGCGAGCGUUAAUCGGAUUUACUGGGCGUAAAGGGCGCGUAGGCGGUUUAGUGAGUGUGAUGUGAAAGCCUCGGGCUUAACCUGGGAAGUGCAUCGCAAACGACUAAACUGGAGUAUAAGAGAGGGUGGCGGAAUUUCCGGUGUAGCGGUGAAAUGCGUAGAGAUCGGAAGGAACGUCAAUGGCGAAGGCAGCCACCUGGCUUAAUACUGACGCUGAGGCGCGAAAGCGUGGGGAUCAAACAGGAUUAGAUACCCGUGUAGUCCCUGUCUCUUAUAC